rnacentral:rRNA from 1 species
UACGGGUGGGGCACGCGUUGUUCGGAAUUACUGGGCGUAAAGGGCGCGUAGGCGGCCUUCUAAGUCAGACGUGAAAUCCCUCGGCUCAACCGAGGAACUGCGUCUGAUACUGGAAGGCUUGAAUCCGGGAGAGGGAUGUGGAAUUCCUGGUGUAGCGGUGGAAUGCGCAGAUAUCAGGAGGAACACCGAUGGCGAAGGCAGGUCUCUGGGCCAUUACUGACACUGAGAAGCGAAAGCAUGGGGAGCGAACAGG